rnacentral:lncRNA from 1 species
CACAUGUGCAAUAGUGGGUGAUGAAUCAGAAUUAAACUAACUGCCCCUGGGUAGUCUUAAAGCAAAGCUUCAACUGUGAUUGGUAGACGUAAAAAUUAGGGAAAGGCACAGGAAGUAACGUAAAAGAAAAAAAAUCUUCCUGAGUGAGUUCUACUUGGAGUUCUUGGAGUGGAGGCUAAAAAAGAAUCUGCUGACUGGACCUGAGACCCUGUUCCUGAUGAGACUAUCCUUAAUAAGUCUCUUUCUUUGGACUGACACAUGAAUCAACCUUCUUCCUCUCUGCCUUAAAAUCCAAGAAAAGAGUAGAGUUUGGAGACUGGGAGCCUGGUGAGGGAGUAAAUCUAAAAGGCUCUUGCAGAAUCUUUCCUCUUCCUACUGGACCAGACGUGAAGGAUUGUGGGGGAGAGCAGUGAAGAGGGGGAUGGGAAGCACUUGCAGUAGCUGCUAAUCGAUAGUGGCUGAUGUGCACUCCGUGGCUAUCAGUUAUGUAUAUUCAGUAAUGGCUUAAAAUGGACUUGCCUAGAGGAAGCACACUUAUGUCUUAGCAUAAAAUCUUGAUGUAGAGCUUUAUUCAAGCUCUGAGAGGUAGAAGUGAUUGAAUGGUGAAUUAGCUCCAGCUCAGAGGCUCUUUACCUCAAUACCUGGAGGAAAAUGAGCUCCUCUUUCUUUCAUUCCCUUGGUCUCAGUUCUUUUUUAGUGUAUGCUAAAUGCAAGAAAUAAAACUAUGCAAAAAUAUGUCA